GGGGGGGGCAAGCGUUGUUCGGAAUUACUGGGCGCAAAGGGCGCGUAGGCGGCCUGCUAAGUCGGAUGUGAAAUCCCUCGGCUCAACCGGGGAACUGCAUCCGAUACUGGCGGGCUUGAAUCCGGGAGAGGGAUGUGGAAUUCCAGGUGUAGCGGUGAAAUGCGUAGAUAUCUGGAGGAACACCGGUCGCGAAGGCGGCAUCCUGGACCGGUAUUGACGCUGAGGCGCGAAAGCUAGGGGAGCAAACGGGAUUAGAUACCCCGGUAGUCCUAGCCCUAAACGAUGAGUGCUUGGUGUGGCGGGUAUCGAUCCCUGCCGUGCCGAAGCUAACGCAUUAAGCACUCCGCCUGGGGAGUACGGUCGCAAGGCUG
rnacentral:rRNA from 1 species